rnacentral:misc_RNA from 1 species
AACACUUUGAGGAGGCCAUUAAUGAUAUGAAAAAGAUAUUGGAAUUGGAUUCAUCAAAUGACCAAGCUAAGAAGACCAUCCGCCGCCUUGAACCACUAGCUGAACAAAAACGAGAAAAGAUGAAAGAAGAGAUGAUUGGAAAGUUGAAAGACAUGGGCAACUCUUUGUUGGGUCGUUUUGGUAUGAGCGUGGACAACUUCAAGGCUGUCAAAGACCCAAAUACUGGUUCCUAUUCAAUUUCAUUCCAACGAUAGUUUCGCUUGACUCGAUUUGUAUUUAU